UUAGCUCCCUCUUCCUCUAUCAAUCGCUCUCUUUCUCUUUCUCUGUUUAGUCUCCCAUCUUAGGAAAAAAUGGGGAUAGAGACGAUCAAGUAUUCAGUGGUUGACGCAUUCACUGAGUCAGCUUUCAAGGGAAACCCAGCAGUAGUUGUUUUGUUAGAGGAAGAUAAUAAGAAGGACGACAAAUGGUUUCAAACAGUGGCUAUGGAGUUCAAUAUGCCCGUCACCUGUUAUUUGACUCGCCACAAGAACAACACUCAUCAUGGUCCUUAUAAGAAUCACAAUAUUUCCAUUAAUCCUAUGUUCUCUCUUAGAUGGUUCUCUCCAACUGUUGAGGUAAAUCUUUGCGGCCACGGAACAUUAGCCGCUGCACACUCUCUCUUCGAGUCAGGACUAAUAGAUUCCAACAUUAUUGAGUUUGUCACAGCAUCAGGGGUUCUAACAGCUAAAAGGGUUUCAAGAAUGGUGAAGGAGCACAAAAAUCCUUUUAUAUAGAGUUGAAUGUUCCUACUGUUCCAAUCACCUCCGAAUUCGAUUCUGUUGAGCUUUCCAUGAUUUCUAAGGCCUUGGGUACUACUGGUGCUUCUAUCAUUGAUAAUAAAAGAACAGCUGCUGAUGACCACCUUGUUGUGCUCCCAUCAGCAAAAUCUGUUGUAGAUCUGCAACCUGAUUUUGAUGCAGUACAAAAAUGUCCAGGAAGAGGGAUAAUUGUAACCGGGAUUGCUCCUCCAGACUCCGGAUUAGAUUUUUACAGUAGAUUUUUGUAUCCAAAGUUAGGAGUCAACGAGGAUGCUGUCUGUGGGAGUGCACAUUGUCCCUUGGCACAAUACUGGUGCAAACAACUGGGAAAGUGUGAUUUACAUGCCUGUGCGGCGUCGCGAAGAGGAGGAGUUAUAAACAUUCAUCUGGAGGAGCAGAACCAGAGGGUGCCUGUUGCUAGGCAAAGCUUUUACCGUGAUGAAAGGAGCUCUCUUGGUUUAAAUUUAGCACUAGUUUUGUUUUGCAUAUGCCAAAUAAAAAAAAAGUUGAAAUAAGUGAGUCAUUAUUCCCUAGAAGUUUAUGAAUUGUCACAAACCAACAUUUAUUUAUGAAAUUUGCAUGUGGUAGGUGGUGACACCAUCUUGAGUAUUUUAAAUGUUUUUGAAUCUUGAGACAUAAUUGAGUAAUGAAGUAAAUCUGGGUUCUAGCAAUAUAUAUUUUGUAUCCUAAUCUUCGUCUUUAAUGAUAGUAACCUAGAAUCUUGGCCAAA